rnacentral:SRP_RNA from 1 species
GGAAGGUCUGUGGGUAGACAUUGUACUUGUGAACCCGGUCAGGUCCGGAAGGAAGCAGCCGAAGCAAAAUACAAUGGGUUACUUACGUGACCUUCUGCU